rnacentral:rRNA from 11 species
UGAUGGAAGAUUUGUGUUUGGUUGUGAAACGCAAACUGAACACAGUGACAGCUUGUUUCCC